UUUUUCACGGUCUGAGGAGAGUGUGCGUUCUGAAAUGCUUGAGAACCGCUCAGGAUUUAUCUCACUGUCAUUCUGUCUGAUCUGCGAGAGGAAGCAAUAAAAGUGACUGAUUUCAACACUGUAAACACUCCUGCAGCCAGGGAAGGACCACGGGCAGUGUUUAUGAAAACCCCGGGAAAGCUUUGUUGACUGGAACAACAGAGCAUGAACAUGUAAUUCUGGCAUGUAAGGUAUCCUCAGCAUUGUCUCCAGAAAUCAGAGUUAAGCUUGACUUGGAAUCAACUUAGAGAGAUUUAGUCCAUCUAGCAAGAAACGGGCAAAUUGGUGUUUGCAUUUCUGUUGACCUGAUGACCUGCUUUUGGAGCUUAAAGGAGAAAUCGCUUAAGAUUGUCUGUUUGUAUAGUUUCAAACUCAACACACGAGAUUAGAUCCACAAAGGUGCAGUGACUUCUGACUUUGUCUGUAAUAUGGCUGCUGUCAGGGAAAAUGAAAGUGCCAGAUGGUCUUGAGAAUUCCUUCCUGGAGUGAGUGAUGACUUCACAUAGAAUGCAGAAGGUACUAUAUCCUGAGGAUGACCCGACUGAAUCAGCCUGUUAAGAGCGCCAGCAAGGCUUGCCAGCUCCCAAGGGAAAGGAAAGGAAGGAAUAUACAGAGAAAGGUGUUGAGCUUCCGGAGGGAUGAGUCUGAUUCACUGAUCAGGAGCCAUUUCUCUGUGGUCAUCUUUUAAGUCCUUAAUUUGGCUUCUGGGCCUGGACAUCUGCUGGUGUAGAGAAAGUUCACUUGUCUAGGGGUAUCCACCAGUGAACUCUGGCGUCCUGUUGGAGGGGUCAAAACACUGGGAGCAUCAAGUGAAAGCAGGAUGCUUUUACAUCUCAGGUGGUAACUUAUCACAGUUUGGAGGGAGACACCUGAGUCCGCUGUUUUCCUGGCCGGCAUUCUGUUGGCUGUGAAGUAACUCCUUUAAACUGGUGCCUUUCAUGUUUGUCUAUAGUACCAGUCUAAUUUUUAAGUUAUCUCUUAUGUACAUGGAUGCUUUGCCUGUGCAUGUGUCUGUGCACCAUGUGUGUGUCUGGUGCCUAUAGAAGCCAGAAGAAGGUGUGAGGCUUCCUGGAGUUGUCGUUACAGACAGUUGUGAGCCGCCAUGUGGAUGCUGGGAAGCAAACUCAGGUUCUCUGAAAGACCAGCCAGUGCUCUUAACCUCUGAGCCAUCUCUCCAGCGCCCAAAUUUGCCAUUUUAAAAGCCAGAAAACUGGUUUGAACCUUUGUUGAUACAAACAGAAAAAAAAAAAAAAAAAGAUGUAUUCAGCAUU